UAACUGCAGCUCCCUAACUUUGCAUAUAUUUUUUUAAUGUUAAUCGUCAGUAACAAUUAAAAUCGUUUAAUAUGCACCCUUUUCAUUGCGCAUAAUAACGUUACAUAACGGUUAACCCAUCAGCGUGUCUUUCGCGGAUUUUUAUAUCACUUUAAAAUAAAAUGACGUACUAUGCGGUAUGAAUUGCACGUUACGGUGUUCGCGACAGUUAUUUUGGAGAAAAGAAUCAAGAAAGAUGUGGGUUAUUCAGAAAGAGGAAAACAAUUUCUAUGCCAUCAGAAAUAAUGUCAGAAUGAGAUUAUGAAUCCCCCCCCCCCCCCCCCUCCAUUACAACGAGUGGAUAUCCCCAACAAGGACGAAUUACGGACGAAGCACAUCGACUGUGAUCCCUAGAAAGCAAUUAUUGUAAGUACUAAUUAAAAUAAACCUCUCUUUAUAAAUCAAACCUAUACAAAUUAAAUUUUAAAGUAUUUCCAUAACGAUGUUUUCGUGAUUACGUUCCAUAUGUACAUCAAGAUACGAUAAACCAAGUUAUACCCAAGUGCCGGGCCGGAUUUCUUCGUUGAAUGAAAACAAAUGACAUUCCAGGGCGGCCGGAAGCAAUUUGCAUCCAGACCAAACUUUGACUGGAGUUACAAUGACCUCUGCAGGGAGUUGAAAGACAUUACAGAUGUCUAUGAUUUUGUGGAGGCAAUCAAUAUAUAGCUAUAGGAGAAGCCCUACAAGCAGGACUGAAGAAGGGCUGUAAUGUUGUUGGAGUUGAUGGCAGAAAUGACGUGAUCAGGUCCUGCAACAGACUUCUCUAUUAGAUUAAAUAAAAUAUUGAGUUCCAACUGAACAGAAGUGAUUGAAAUAUGUACCAGUCUUUUUUGUAUUCUUUUUCAUGAGCCAAUAAAGUUAAGUCAUCUCAUUGAUGAUAAAA